UACGUAGGGUGCAAGCGUUAAUCGGAAUUACUGGGGGUAAAGCGUGCGCAGGCGGUUGUGUAAGACAGAUGUGAAAUCCCCGGGCUCAACCUGGGAACUGCAUUUGUGACUGCACGGCUCGAGUGCGGCAGAGGGGGAUGGAAUUCCGCGUGUAGCAGUGAAAUGCGUAGAUAUGCGGAGGAACACCGAUGGCGAAGGCAAUCCCCUGGGCCUGCACUGACGCUCAUGCACGAAAGCGUGGGGAGCAAACAGG
rnacentral:rRNA from 1 species